GGGGAUAUAGCUCAGUUGGUAAAGUGCUUGUCUCGUAUGCAUAAGGCCCUGGGUUCAAUUCCCAGCACCA
rfam:Ictidomys tridecemlineatus contig146182, whole genome shotgun sequence.